rnacentral:rRNA from 1 species
GGUAACGAACCGUGGGUAACCGUAGCCACUAAGAGGGGAGGUAACAUCCGGAAACGGGUGCUAAUACCGCAUAGUUUUCUGAUCGCAUGAUUGAGAAAGGAAAGACGGCCUUUGUGCUGUCGCUUAUGGAUGGACCCGCGGCGUAUUAGUUAGUUGGUGAGGUAACGGCUCACCAAGACGAUGAUACGUAGCCGACCUGAGAGGGUGAUCGGCCACAUUGGGACUGAGACACGGCCCAAACUCCUACGGGAGGCAGCAGUAGGGAAUCUUCCGCAAUGGACGAAAGUCUGACGGAGCAACGCCGCGUGAGUGAAAAGAAGGUUUUCGGAUCGUAAAACUCUGUUGUCAGAGAAGUAACAAGUUGGAGAGUAACUGCUCCAGCCUUGACGGUAUCUGACCAGAAAGCCACGGCUAACUACGUGCCAGCCGCGGC